rnacentral:tRNA from 1 species
AGCUCCGUAGCUUGGAGGAAAGAAGCGCCCGUCUAGCGAGUUGGAAGUCGUGGGUUCGAUUCCUAUCGGAACUC